ensembl:lncRNA
AGCAAUUCUGUCCAGCCCAAGAGUCUGGGACAUGCCAGAACAUUUUCUUCUUUAUAGUCUGUGGGAGGCACUGACAAGAACAGUUGAUACAGAUUGCAAGCACAGCGACAUAGUAGUGUCGUAAUGCAUCAUCACAUGCUAUCUUUGGUAUAUUCUAGAAUUUUAUCACGAGGCAUUGAUCCCACACCUGAGAUUUGCCUCCAUUUGAGACUCAGAAUUUUGCAGCUGUUUUCUCAAUGCAGGAAGAGGUCAUUAUUAGAAUGAAGUGAAGAAAGGAAGGCAUGAAGGGGAAAUGGGACUGUUUACGGAGCACAUCUACACAAAGGAGACAGGGGGAAGUGCUGUGCUCUUCAGUGUCUUUGUAGCAUAAAUCACUGAGGCAGAGGAAUUUUUGACAGCUUCCCCUAAGUGCUCGCUUCAAGGGUGAGACCAAAUGCAAAUGGAUGAAACAAGAAAAUAUCAUCCUGAGUGAGAUAACCCAGACAGAAAAGAACAUACAUGCUUCCACAGAGGCCAAGGAUGAGAGUGAAAAAGAAGGGAUCCCAGAUGACUUCUAACACUCUUAAAGCAACUCGAAGACUCCAAGAAUUAAGGCACUGAAGACCGGGAAGCCACUGGUGAGGAUGAGGCCACUGGUUGGACAAUGGUUUUUCAGGAGAAGUGCAGGAGGAU